rnacentral:rRNA from 1 species
GACGAACGCUGGCGGCGUGCUUAACACAUGCAAGUCGAACGGAAAGGCCCUGCUUUUGUGGGGUGCUCGAGUGGCGAACGGGUGAGUAACACGUGAGUAACCUGCCCCUGACUGUGGGAUAACUUCAGGAAACUGGGGCUAAUAUCGGAUAGGAGCUCCUGCUGCAUGGUGGGGGUUGGAAAGUUUCGGCGUUGGGGGAUGGACUCGCGGCGUAUCCGCUUGUUGGGGGGGUAGUGGCGUACAAAGGCUUUGACGGGUAGGCGGCCUGUGAGGGUGAUCGGCCACAUGGGAACGGGGACGCGGUCCAGAGUCCUGCGGGAGGCAGCAGUACGGAAUGGUGCGCAAUGGGGGAAAUCCUGACGGAGCGACGCCGCGUGAGGGAUGAAGGUCCCCGGUGCGGAAAACGCUGUUAUGAGUGAAAAACAAAUUUGGAAGUAACUAUGCACGGCUUGACGGUACCGAAUAAGAAAGCCCCGGCUAACUACGUG